rnacentral:rRNA from 3 species
CGAUGUGGGAAGGCCCAGACAGCCAGGAUGUUGGCUUAGAAGCAGCCAUCAUUUAAAGAAAGCGUAAUAGCUCACUGGUCGAGUCGGCCUGCGCGGAAGAUGUAACGGGGCUAAACCAUGCACCGAAGCUGCGGCAGCGAACGUAUCACUUAAAGCGAUUCAGCGGGUUACGAUUGACGGAGCGAAGCGACGUCAAAGCGUAUACAAAGUCGAGUCGGUUUAAGGAUACGUUCGUUGGGUAGGGGAGCGUUCUGUAAGCCYGYGAAGGUGRCCUGUGAGGGUUGCUGGAGGUAUCAGAAGUGCGAAUGCUGACAUAAGUAACGAUAAAGCGGGUGAAAAGCCCGCUCGCCGGAAGACCAAGGGUUCCUGUCCAACGUUAAUCGGGGCAGGGUGAGUCGACCCCUAAGGCGAGGCCGAAAGGCGUAGUCGAU